AGCGAACGCUGGCGGCAGGCCUAACACAUGCAUGUCGAACGAAGUCUUCGGACUUAGUGGCGGACGGGUGAGUAACACGUGGGAACGUACCUUUUGGUUCGGAACAACUCAGGGAAACUUGAGCUAAUACCGGAUGAGCCCUUAGGGGGAAAGAUUUAUCGCGGAAAGAGCGGCCCGCGUUAGAUUAGCUAGUUGGUGAGGUAAAGGCUCACCAAGGCUACGAUCUAUAGCUGGUCUGAGAGGAUGAUCAGCCACACUGGGACUGAGACACGGCCCAGACUCCUACGGGAGGCAGCAGUGGGGAAUCUUGCGCAAUGGGCGAAAGCCUGACGCAGCCAUGCCGCGUGAAUGAUGAAGGUCUUAGGAUUGUAAAAUUCUUUUACCAGGGACGAUAAUGACGGUACCUGGAGAAAAAGCCCCGGCUAACUUCGUGCCAGCAGCCGCAGUAACAC
rnacentral:rRNA from 1 species